AGAGUUUGAUCCUGGCUCAGAUUGAACGCUGGCGGCAUGCCUUACACAUGCAAGUCGAACGGUAACAGGUCUUCGGAUGCUGACGAGUGGCGAAUGGGUGAGUAAUACAUCGGAACGUGCCCGAGAGUGGGGGAUAACGGAGCGAAAGCUUUGCUAAUACCGCAUACGAUCUACGGAUGAAAGCAGGGGACCGCAAGGCCUUGCGCUCAUGGAGCGGCCGAUGGCAGAUUAGGUAGUUGGUGGGAUAAAAGCUUACCAAGCCGACGAUCUGUAGCUGGUCUGAGAGGACGACCAGCCACACUGGGACUGAGACACGGCCCAGACUCCUACGGGAGGCAGCAGUGGGGAAUUUUGGACAAUGGGCGCAAGCCUGAUCCAGCC
rnacentral:rRNA from 1 species